AUUUAUAUAGUUUAUUUAAAACUUUAUAUUUUCAAUGUAAAAAAAAUAAAUUUUAUUUAUUUAUAAAUA
rnacentral:tRNA from 1 species